rnacentral:piRNA from 1 species
UAUUUUGGUGAAGGGUACAUCAGUAUAUG